rnacentral:rRNA from 1 species
UCCGUAGGUGAACCUGCGGAGGGAUCAUUAAAGAGUUGCAAAACUCCCUAAAACCCCUGUGAACUUAUCCUUGAGCGUUGCUUCGGCGGGCAGCCCCUCCCUGGGGCCGCAGCCCAAUCCCCCUUCGGGGGGGUGCGGGCGCCCGCCGGAGGUAUUAAACUCUUCUGUAUUUUAGUGGCAUCUCUGAGUUAGCAAGUAAUAAGUCAAAACUUUCAGCAACGGAUCUCUUGGUUCUGGCAUCGAUGAAGAACGCAGCGAAAUGCGAUAAGUAAUGUGAAUUGCAGAAUUCAGUGAAUCAUCGAAUAUUUGAACGCACAUUGCGCCCCUUGGUAUUCCGGGGGGCAUGCCUGUUCGAGCGUCAUUAUAACCCUCAAGCCUAGCUUGGUGUUGGAGCAUGCUACCUAGCAGCUCUUAAAAUCAGUGGCAGUGCCCUUCGGCUCUAAGCGUAGUAACUUCUCUCGCUAUGGAAACCGGAUGGUACGCGCCAAAACCCCUAACUUUCUAUGGUUGACCUCGGAUCAGGUAGGGAUACCCGCUGAACUUAAGCAUAUCAAUAAGCGGAGGA